rnacentral:rRNA from 1 species
AUUCCAGCUCCAAUAGCGUAUAUUAAAGUUGUUGCGGUUAAAAAGCUCGUAGUUGGAGUUCUGCCAGGUGGCGCUCGUCCGCCCAAGUGGUGUGUACAGGGCGUGCAUCUGGCCCUUUCAAGGGGAACGUGUCUGCACUUCAUUGUGUGGUGCGAGAUCCUUGACUUUUACUUUGAGGAAAUAAGAGUGUUCCAAGCAGGCUCUCGUCGUGCAUAGCUCAGCAUGGAAUAAUAGCAUUGGACUUCGUUUCUACGCUGUUGGUUGCAAGAAGCGAGGUAAUGAUGAAGAGGGAUAGUUGGGGGCAUUCGUAUUUACAUGUCAGAGGUGAAAUUCUUGGACCGUUUGAAGACAAACUACUGCGAAAGCAUUUGCCAAGAAUGUUUUCAUUA